rnacentral:rRNA from 1 species
AUCUGCGGACUGACUGGCUAUCGUGAUUGGGGUACUAAGCCACUGGCGAAAGUCAUUGUAGCAAUACAAGGGCGGACGCGCUCAGUAACACGUAGUCAACCUAACUCGUGGACGUGGAUAACCUCGGGAAACUGAGAAUAAAACACGAUAGAUCAUAGUGCCUGGAAUGGCUUAUGGUCCAAACAGUUUACUGCCAUGGGAUGGGACUGCGGCCUAUCAGCUUGUUGGUGAGGUAAUGGCCCGCCAAGGCGAUUACAGGUACGGGCUCUGAGAGGAGAAGCCCGGAGAUGGGUACUGAGACACGGACCCAGGCCCUAUGGGGCGCAGCAGGCGAGAAACCUUAGCAAUGUGCGAAAGCACGACUUGGGUCAGUCCGAGUGAUUCCUGAUAAAGGAGUCUUUUGCUUGUCCUAAAAGCACANAGUGAAUAAGGGGUGGGCAAGUCUGGUGUCAGCCGCCGCGGUAAUACCAGCACCUCGAGUGGUCAGGACGUUUAUUGGGCCUAAAGCAUCCGUAGCCGGCUCUGCAAGUCUUCGGUUAAAUCCACCUGCUCAACAGAUGGGCCGCUGGAGAUACUACAGAGCUA